UCCAGCCUGGGCGACAGAGCGAGACUCCGUCUCAAAAAAAAGAAUUAGGGGGUGAGAUAGAUGACAGAUGUGGUUAAUUGCAUUAUUCUUCCUGAUUUUUCACGCCUUCCUGUAUGCUUGUCUUAAGAUCUAGCACUUCUGUUCUCUGGGGUUGGAGGAUAUUGUCUUACUGUGUCUCUGUUGGACAUGGCCUUGUGAUUUGCCUCAGCCUUUGACCUUUGAGAUGUAGGUGGAAGCAACAAAGUGACAGUUCCAAGUCCCGACCAUAAGAAGCAUUGUGUAUUUCCAUUUGUGCUUCCAACCGUUCCCAUGACAAGAGCAUACCCUUGGAUAUAGCUGCUACUCUUUCGUCUUGGACCCCAGAAUGAACGUGUGGAUCUCCAGCCUCCCCACUAACCUGUGGGCCUGAGAACAAGAGCUCCCUGUUGCACUGCUGACUGAUACACAUAGUGCAAGCACAGCUGGCCCUCCAUACAGGUGCUUCCCAUUUCUACAGCCGGUUUACUGCGGUCUCCUCAUGAACAUGUUGUCAUCACGCCCAGUGUAACUGCUCCCUCCCUGCAGGAGUUUACUCUGCUACAUGGAUAAGCUAACAAAGGCUCAUCUGGAACUACAGGGUUACAUCUCUAGUGUCAUUGUAUGACACAGUGACUCAGAGAUGAUUUCCUCUUCAGAAAACAGAAGAAUUUUCUGACACAUUUAUCCAGAUUGGAUGAUAUGGAGAUGAACACCAGGACUAUUUUAGAAACUGCAUGUUGAAGACCACUGAGAUAUAAAACUUAGAAAAAAAAAGGUUCUGAAUCAAUGCCUUGUGAAGACAGUUGCACAGCUUUCAGUACUGUUACCAUAUGCGAGUGUUCAUGGGAACAGCCAUGCCUGGAUAAACCAGAUAAACUGAGGAAUCAAAAGGCAUAUUCAGACCAAGACUAAAGAGAACCUUCUUCACCUCCUCCAUACUUCUUCAAUAAGACCACUCAGGACACCUUAACUGCCUUGCUGCCUUUCUGGAAGAGAACAAUCCAAUAAUGAGAACAUCCUUGAGGAUCACAGAGUCCAGAGUCCCUAGAGAGAGGGAGAGCAAUCAUGUCUUCUAGACGGCAAGUUACUUACACAUAUGUCUAGAUUUACUUUUCUCUGUGAAAUGACUUCAUAUUGCUGAGUCAUUACUCAGGUGAUCAGGAAAUGUGGUUUUUGGCAGAUACUUGGGGUCCUGCUGCUUGAUAUUCUAGAGGAGUAGAACCCUUUCCUCUUCCAGAGGACAUCUCAGCAACCCUCUGAAAGAGUUUUUAUUUUCUUAACCUUAUGAACAAAAGAAUUAAGACUUAAGGAGAUAUUCUGUAUGAAAUCUGGGGCCAAUUUUAAGGACAGAGAGAAACCAUGCAAAAGAAAGCAGGGGCUGCUGCUGGCUUAGAGAUGGAGGAAAGGGGCCAUGAGCCUGAAAUGCAAGGAGCCUCCAGAAAUGAAAAAGUCAAGGAAAUGAUUUUCCCUAGAGACUUCAGAAGGGGUAUAGCCCUUUAGAUACCUUCAUUUUAGUCCAGUAAAACCCAGUUUGGGUUUCUGAACUCCGGAACUGGACAGCAAAAAAAAUCUGUGGGUUUUUUGUAACUUGUUUAUGGUAAUUUGUUACAAAAGCAAUAGAAAACUAGUAUACUUAUCUCAAGUCUUUUUUCUUCCCGUAAAGAUUUUCAUUGUGUGCAGUCUUAAUACUUCUCAUCAUCCUACAGAGACAAAGCAUGGGCCAGCACUGACCAUAUUACAAUCCCGAGGGGAUAGAUCCCUACAGUAUAAGGGUAAUACACUUUAAAUUAUUUUGUUCUUCACUUUUUCUUUUGCGCAAUACAGUAUUCAAGGCUUGCCCAUCUGCCAAGCAACCUUUGGUUCUUUUCUGUAAGAAAAACUUAUUCUGCUUAUUUGAGACAAACUCAUUGUCUCACCCUUAGGCUAAAUGGUAUAGUCUCAGAAAAUGCCAUUAAUAUUCCACCUUCCCACUUCAGAAGUGAAGUAUCAUUCACUUUCCCGCUCUCAGUAGAAAUAUAUUUCAUUAUUUGUUUUAUCUUUUUUCUCAGGCUCAUCCUUUUUAGUGUCUUUAUCGGCUUGUCUUCCUUUGUCCAUCCCUUAAGUAUCAGUGUGUUUGAUGGCUGGGGAAGUCCCCGCUUUUCACACAACCCUGCUUCUUACACAGUAAAGGCAACUCAAUUUUUUAGCAUUUGGGUUCAGAAACCUCUGAAAAAUUCUUGAUUUUUUAAAAUUUUCUUUUUUACAGUCCCACAUCUAAUCACUGAGAAAAUCCUUUUGGCGUGGCUUUGCCUUCUUAUCUGCCCAAAACUGACUUGCUUCUUACAACCUCCUCGGCUGCCACUGUGGUCGAAGCCAGUGUUUCUCUCGUACCUUAAUUACUACAUUUACUUCCUGGUUUCUCUCCCUGCAGCCACCCUUGCCCUGAGUGCUACUAAGAACUCACCAGGCAAAGCAGUCAUUUUGAAAUGUGAGUCCUAUUAGGACAUUCCUCUGUUCAGCCUCUCCCACGCCCACGUGUCACUCACAGUGAAGUUUGUUUUCAGUGUAACCUAGUCACUAACCUGACUUCAUCCUCUACGACUUUGUUGCUUGCUUACUCUGCUGUGGCCACACAGCCUUCUUGUUCCUCCUAGAACACAUCAAAUAAGCUUCUAUUUCAGUGCAUUCACAUUUGCUAUUUCUUCAUCUUCUUGGAAUGUUCUCAUGGAUAUCCAUAUGGCUCACUUCCUCACUUCCUCCAACUUUU
rnacentral:lncRNA from 10 species